AGCACUCGAGUUGGUGCUCGAGAUUACCGGUACAAUGGGAUUGAAUGUUCAAAUACUCAAUCAACUGAAAGAGUUAUUUCUAAACAGUAACUCUUUCAAAUUCAUUCAGAGUGCUAUCCUGGUUCUAAUCCUUUAUGGAUUGGAAGAGCUCCUUGAAAAACAUAUCACUUGUCCGUGUGUUGUGGAAGCGAAUAAUUGCUAUGCUUGGAUGUUUUUUCUUUUCCCUUCAGUAAUAUUGCUAAUAAUCAGCCUAAUGCUGCAAUUUGAAUCAUAUCAAUGUAAUUGGUGUUGCAGGUGUCGUUUUCGGGCAAGAAAUUCGACAAAGAGCGAGCAAUCCACUGGACCAGUCGAGGAAAACACACCAGAAAAGUGUUGCAAAUGUGACGUUGUCCCUGCCAUUUUGUUAUUUAGAAUACUGACUCCACCAAUAAUAUGGAUUCUUCGACGGUAACUGCUAUACCUGUGCUGAGAUAAUGAAAGAUAAAAAUGUGACGAAGAAAAUGUGCGCCGAAUUCAACUGCAAUGAUAAUGACAGUAAAGUUUUAUCUGAGCUACGACGUCAUUGUUAUAUAUUGCGGUUCAUUGGUGGCGUUUUAAUUUUCGUAUUCCUGGUCCUACUGCUGUUGCUCUACUCUCUUCAUCGUUGCACUUGGUGUAAUAUGAAGAAAUUUAUUACAAAAAUGAAUAUGAUUCAAUGCGUGGAAGAUUGAAAGAAAAUCUGAUGAUGAAGGCACUGUAUGACAAAGCAGAUGCAGAGGCAAGAAAAGACAUUAACAACAUGAGCAAAAGAUUUCCUUCUCACCAUGAGUCUGUAUCUGGGACUCAAACAAAUAAUAAUGAAGCUGAAUCGACAUAUGAGCCACCCACUUCUGGAACUGAUGCAUUUACACAAGAGCGUCAGGACACUCCGCAACGUUGUUCUAGCAGCAACAUAAAAAGCAAAGAACAAUUGGCUCCACUCAACAAAGUGCACAAAGGAACAACAGUCUCAAACGAAGACACCAAAGUGUAAUUCAGCAUCAUUUAGUGAACAUUUUUAACUGUAAUUGUUUUAAUUCAUUUGAUUGCAAGUGCCGAUUUGUUAUAUGAUGUAAAAUUUAAGGGUAAAUGUUCCACUGCUGCCCCUACUCUGUGAUAGGGAUGCACAGUUUUACAUUAGGCACUUAUGUGUGAGUACUCGAAUGGAAAUUGCACCCUUAAUUCAUUCAUUUACUCUAUUGCAGAUGCCAUCCUCUGAAAUCAUGCAUUUGUCCCAUGAUAGAAAAUACACACUUCAAUCAUACGUUUGUCCCCGAUACAAAAUUGACAUUUAAGUUACAGCUUGCUCCUUAUUGAAAAUAUAUUUAGGUCAACAAUGUGGUACUCUGGAAUUUGGUGAAAUGGGAAAUCGGUGCAGUGGAGGAUGGUGAUGGCAUUGCAACUAGGAAUGGUAAAUAUAUAAAUAAUCAGAGAAAUUAAUUCAAUGUGAAAAAUGUUUAAAGCAAAACAAUGAGACAGCUGAGACCCUUACCUAAAUCUCCUGUGCUGUGAGGUCCUGGGUAACCACAAGUGAAGGAAGUGCCUCCAGUUGCAGGAACUCCGGUUUGAGGGGUGGCUGGAGUCACUGCAGGGCCUAUAGGAGGCUGGGAAUUUCCUGAAGUACACAUUCCUGCAGGUGGUGACUUCACAGCUACAGAGAGUUCAGGAGAAUAGUAAGUGGCCACCUGACAGAGUAAGAAGAGACAGGCAGUGCAGGAAUGUUCUAGGCCUAUGACAUUUUCAAAACAAAAAAAUCACUGCUGAAUACAAGUGAGGGUGAAAAAGCCUCAGAAGAGUGCAACCUAGAGCACACACAUUGAACCAUGAGGAAAAUGAUUGUGUGGGGAAAACAGCAAUGUCUUGCAGAUGUGAGUAACCAUGCCUGGGACAUACGAGCGCACCUCCAGCAUUGACUUUUACUCAUCCCUAGAUUGUGAUACAUGCAUCGACCAGCUAAUGCUCGCUGUUGUAGUGGUCCAUGUGCAUCAGCCUGUUGACCUUAUAGAGGCCCUGCUGACUCUUGCUACUCAGGCCCUUGCUCCUAAUGGCCCUGUGCCAACCUGCGAUGGGCCCUCCUUCUCAUCCGGAUGAGCGCCAUUACCAAGGCAGGGUUGCCUGCAGUCUGCAUCAUUGACACUUCAUUGACAUGUGUGAAUGAUUUGAAGUGAUAUAUUAAGUGAGCAUGUCCUUUACAGGUUUCCAUCCACCUCAAAGCCUGUAGGCCAGCGCUAAUGCCUUCACCUGGCCUCGGUCUAGGCACCACAUCCCCACCCCAACCCUUCUCGUUAAAGAACAUCCUGGAGGAACAGGGAUGGAUGUUCCUCCCAUUUUCUUACUGAUUCUUGUACUGAAGCAUUACUUUUAACUCCUAUUGACCAAAGCAAAAUAAUGAAAAUUGUUAAUUCGCUCAAGACAAGUAAUUCCGCUGGUCAUGCCAGAAUAAGCAACAAACUAUUGAAGAAGAUAAUCUCAAAUACUGCCACUCCUCUUACUCAUAGGUGCAAUCUCUCAUUUUCAACCAGCAUUUUUCCAAUAUAAAUUAUAUUUUCAAAAGCUAUAAAAACGAUGACAUGUCUUUACCAAACAAUUAUUUCCCAAUUUCAAUACUGUCAAUUUUUCAACAAUUUGUUUAGAAUAGAUUAUAUUCCUUUUUGUCAUGCCAAAAUGUAUUGAAAUUAAAUCAGUUUGGUUUCAGACACCAUCA